GGAAUAUUGGACAAUGGCCGAGAGGCUGAUCCAGCCAUGCCGCGUGCGGGAGGACGGCCCUAUGGGUUGUAAACCGCUUUUGUUGGGGAGCAAUAAGGGUCACGUGUGACCUGAUGAGAGUACCCAGCGAAUAAGCAUCGGCUAACUCCGUGCCAGCAGCCGCGGUAAUACGGAGGAUGCAAGCGUUAUCCGGAUUUAUUGGGUUUAAAGGGUGCGUAGGCGGGCUGCUAAGCGUGAGGUGAAAUGCCACGGCUCAACCGUGGGACUGCCUCGCGAACUGGUAGUCUUGAAUGUCCGUGCCGUGGGAGGAAUGUGUGGUGUAGCGGUGAAAUGCAUAGAGAUCACACAGAACACCGAUUGCGAAGGCAUCUCACGAACGGAUGAUUGACGCUGAGGCACGAAAGCGUGGGGAUCAAACA
rnacentral:rRNA from 1 species